rnacentral:sRNA from 1 species
AUCGCGGGAAGAGGAAGGGAGCGUAACUCUUAGAAGUCACUAUGGUGACGGGGAGGUCGGGAGGCUUCUUGGUAACUGGUACCAGGUGUUUGAGAGCAAUCGCCACCGCUUUCCUGGAACUUGAGUAAAUACAAUCAAGUGGCAUCUUAAAUUUUUGCUGGAAGUGGAGUCAUGAGACUAAAGAUAUCUCUUUUAAAAGAACCAAAGCAUAUCCUUUUAAUGCUUAUAAAUCUUAUUGGAUUUUAAUUAUAGUAUUGUUAAAAGUUUCUCUAUUUUAUAUCCUAGUUGAAGAAUAGAUUUUUUUUCAUUCCUUUAGUGGCUGUUUACCUAAAUUGUUUUAAAAUAUUUAAGAUCACGUGUUGUAAGUAAUUCUCCAAAGUGAACCAUUUGCUAUAAAUCUUAUUUUAAAAUUCUUACUGACAUUUUUCUUACUCUACUUAAGUACUAUACUUAAAUACUUGAAAAGCAGUUUUUGUUUAGUAGGAUCUUAAAAAGAAGCUUUUUUUUUUUUUGAGACAGAGUCUCACUCUGUCACCCAGGGUGGAGUAUAGUGGUGUGAUCUCAGCUCACUGCAACCUCCACCUCCUGGGUUCAAGUGAUUCUCCUGCCUCAGCUUCCUGAGCAGCUCAGACUACAGGCACCCGCCAACAUGCCCGGCUAAUUUUUGUAUUUUUAGUAGAGACGGGGUUUCACCAUGUUGGCCAGGCUGGUCUCAAACUCUCGACCUCAGGUGAUCCACCUGCCCCAGCCUCCCAAAGUGCUGGGAUUACAG